ensembl:lncRNA
GGGAUUUGUUUAAAAGAAGGAGCAACCAAAAAAGAGCAUAAGGAAUAUUAUGUUAGGGCUUAUACCAGCCAUUAGUUCUGAUUACUGGGGAGCUUUUGAGGAGCAAAAUUGCAGUGAUGAUUGGAAUCGCUUUCAGAGUUUCUUGGCUUUGUUGCCUGCUAAUUGGCGGGAUAACCUGUUCUACAUCAAGUGAUGGGUAUCCUGCACCAGGUUCUGAUGCAGCAUGGCUCUAUACAGGCCCACUUAGGUCUAAAGGAUAUGGUAAUUUCAACUCUCCAACAGCUCAAUUGCAAGCGCAGCUGACCGAAGAGCAACAUGCACAUCUGGAAGCCAUCCUCCAAAAUCAACUGGCCCCCAUGCCCCAGGCAUCUCAGAAAAUGUGGUAUCCAACUCAAAUGCCCCAGCAGGAAAAGCAACCGGCCGCCAUGAGCCAAAAGCAGACGCUACCGGCCAGUUAUCCUAAGCAGCCUCAAGCAGUGUUGUAUCCAGCUCAAAUGCCCCAGAAGCAACCAGUUACUGAACUUCUGCAUCAGAAGGAACUGGCCUCCAUACCUCAGCAAGUGUGGCAUCAAGUUCAAAUUCCUCAGCAGCAAAAGCAACCAGCUACUGGUCCUCAGCAGCAGACGGAACUGACCACCAUGCCCCAGAAGCAACCGGCUCCAAUGCCUAUACCGCAGAAACAACCAACAGCUAUGCCCCAGAAAGCAUGGUAUCAAGCUCAAAUGCAGCAAAAGCAACCGGCCACCAUGCACCAGCAAGUGUGGCAUCCAGCUCAAUUGCCCCAGCAGCAAAAGCAACUGGCUACUGAACCUGAUCAGCAGAAGGAACCGGCCACCAUGCACCAGCAAGUGUUGCAUCCAGCUCAAAUGCUGCUGAAGCAACUGACUGCCAUGCCCCAGCAAGUGUGGUAUCCAGCUAAGCCCCAGAAGCAACUGGCCGCUGAUCCUCAGGAGCAGAUUGAACUGACCGCCAUGCCCCAGCAACCUCAGCAAGUGUGGUAUCCAGCUCAAAUGCCCCAGAAGUAACCAACCGCUGAUCCUCAGUGGCAUCCAGCCAAAUUUCCCCAGGAGCAACCAGUCCCUAUGCGUCAACUGCAGAAGGAACUGACUGCCAUUCCACCACAACUGUGGCAAUCCGCUCAAAUUCCCCAGCAGCAUAAGCAAGUGUGGCAACUGGCCCCCAUGCCCCAGCAGCCUCAUGAUGUGUGGUAUCCAGCUAAAAUGGUCCAGAAGCAACAAGCAGCUGCAACUCGGCGGCAGAAGGAACUGACCACCAUGCCUCAAGAGUGGCAUCCAGCUCAAUAUCCCCAGCAGCAGAAGCAACCAGCCCUAAUGGUUUCACCGCAGAAGGAACUGACCGCCAUACACCAGCAAGAGUGGCAUCCAGCUCAAAUGCAGCAGAAACAACAGGCCACCAUGCCCCCGCAAGUAUGGCAUCCAGCUCAAAUGCCUCAGGAGCAAAAGCAACCAGCUACUGAACCUCGGCAGCAAAUUGAACCGACCGCCAUGCCACAGCCACCUCAGCAAUUGUGGCAUCCAGAUCAAUUUCUCCAGGAGCAGAAGAAACCAGCCCCUAUGCAUCUACCGCAGAAGGAACUGACCGCCAUUCCACCACAACUGUGGCAAUCCGCUCAAAUUUUACAGCAACAUAAGCAACCGGCUGCCAUGCUUCAGCAAGUGUGGCAUCGGGCACAGAAGCAACCGGCCCCUAUGCCCCAGCAGCCUCAUGACGUGUGGUAUCCAGCUAAAAUGGUCCAGAAGCAACAAGUCACUGCACUGACCGCCAUGCCGCAGACACAUCAGCAAGUGUGGCAUCCAGCUGAAUUUCCCCAGCAGCAGAAGCAACCGGCCUCCACGCCUCUACCGCAGGAGCAACCGACCGCCGUACCCCAGCAAGUGUGGUAUCCAGCUCAAAUGUCACGGCAGCAACUGGCCUCCAUGCCUCUACAGCAGAAGGAACUGACCGACGUGCCUCAGCAAGAGUGGCAACCAGCUCUACCGCAGAAGCAACCGGCUGCUGAACCACAGCAGAACGAACCGGCCACCAUACCCCAGCAAGUGGGGAAUCCAGCUCAAAUGUCCCAGCAGCGGAAGCAACACACUGCCAUGCCACAGCACCAACUGACCCCCAUGCCUCAGCAAUUAUGGCAUGUAGCUCAAAUGCCCCAGAAGCAACUGGCCCCAAUGUCUCAGCAGAAUCACUACGAAAGCACUGAAGAUGGUGCCUUUAGUAGCACUCAGGCCAGCAUCGUUGAACAGUCGGGUGUCAUCCCAAUCUAUUCCUACAGUUCCAAAUCUCACUACGAGAAUGGCAGAACUGUCUUCUCCCAAACCCGCUACACUCCUAGGGAGGCUAUGCCUGUUGACAGUGGAAGUGCUCCCAAGGACAGUUUUGUUGGUACUGGUGCACCUAGCGUCUAUCCAUCACUAGUGAAGGAUUCUGCAAGGAAAAUGUAAUGGAUUCAUCCUCUAGAAGCUAAUGGUGAGAAUUGUUUUUGACAUUGGUUACUUAACAUUCUAUGUUGUUGACACUAAAUUUCUUUCUGCUUUUGUUUUGACCAGGAAGUGCCUGGUGCUCUUGCUACUCUAGCGUGAGGGAGUACAUGAACAGUUCUACUUCCAAAAAUGCCCUGUCUCUGUGAAAUAAUGGUUCUCCUGUCCAUUGCUUGCUAAUUGAGAACAGGUGGUGUGCAGUCUGUAGUAAAAAUGACUGUUCAGUUAAUUAUUUUGUUUUCUAAUCUUUUACCUUUGCUACUGGUUGUUCAAAAUAAAAGCUUGGGUCUACAUUUGUCAAGGGGUGAGUUGUCAGACAUUCUUCGUAUGUUCAUACUUUAGAUGUAGGCAUGCAUUGUAUACAGUGAGACUGUCUUCAACCUCAGUCCAAGUUGUUGGUCAGUAAGAUAACAAAUAAGGAAUAGUUUUUAGAUGGUCAGACCAUGGCUCAUCUAGCUACUAGAAUUGAGUGACCAUUUGGUUUCAAAAUUGCAUUUGGCCUUAUACUAUAGCCCAUACCACAAAUGGCAGAGUUAAAUCAGUUUAGGAGUGUCUGUUCCAUAUCUAGUUGACUCAAAUGUUAUUUUGGAUGCUUCUACCUCCAUACUUCUGUUUGUAUGGGUUACCUGUCUUACAAUUGUGGGGUCAUAGAGGGAAACGUAACUAUGUUCGGGAGUCAAUUUCCCAUAACGGUCCGUUUGUAGGCCAAACCGUUCUGAAGCUAUAGAUGUUUUUGAGACUGCAUUUUUGGGGUGUCUGACCAACACCACUGUAGCUCGGCCCCUGUCCACUGCAGAUGCAUAAGGGCGACAGGCGGCUGCAGUGGCUUGAGACGCAGCCCAUUCAAAAUGUUCUAGCUUCAACUGGAUUUUGAUGGGCCUUUUACUUUGACUGCCUCAAUACUCUUCACCUGUAGCCCAUUCCUCCUAGUCCAUUUAUUGUACCACAGGCUCCUAUGGAAUGGAUUCGGUGUAUUUGAUUUCUACAAUGGUUUAACCUAUCAAUUAACAAAUAUAUUCUGUAUAGACUAUCUUCAAACAUGAUCAUUUUCCUUAAGAUAUUAUUAAUCUCACUGCGUAUUGUGAGAAUUCAGCCCUUAAAUGGAUCCAUUAAGUUCCAAAGUGGAAGCUGGAAGGCACUAGCAUGACAGUUCAGCUAGCAUAAGAUGUCACCCAGGACUUUUGCACAACUUGACAUAUUUGCAUGUUGUAGUUGACUCUGUUUGGCCAGACUCAUGAACAUGAAUGAAAUUGUAUAUGCAUUGAAUUUUCUACAAGAAGUUACACUUUGUCCAACAGCAAUCUCAUGUCUAG